rnacentral:rRNA from 1 species
CCUACGGGCGGCAGCAGUCGAGAAUCAUUCACAAUGGGGGAAACCCUGAUGGUGCGACGCCGCGUGGGGGAAUGCAGGUCUUCGGAUUGUAAACCCCUGUCAUGUGGGAGCAAAUUAAAAAGAUAGUACCACAAGAGGAAGAGCCGGCUAACUCUGUGCCAGCAGCCGCGGUAAUACAGAGGUCUCAAGCGUUGUUCGGAAUCACUGGGCGUAAAGUGUGCGUAGGCUGUUUCGUAAGUCGUGUGUGAAAGGCGCGGGCUCAACCCGCGGACGGCACAUGAUACUGCGAGACUAGAGUAAUGGAGGGGGAAGCGGAAUUCGCGGUGUAGCAGGGAAAUGCGUAGAUAUCGAGAGGAACACUCGUGGCGAAGGCGGGUUCCUGGACAUUAACUGACGCUGAGGCACGAAGGCCAGGGGAGCGAAAGGGAUUAGAUACCCCAGUAGUC